rnacentral:rRNA from 1 species
UACGGGGGGGGCAAGCGUUGUUCGGAAUUACUGGGCGUAAAGGGCUCGUAGGCUGCCAACUAAGUCGGACGUGAAAUCCCUCGGCUUAACCGGGGAACUGCGUCUGAUACUGGAUGGCUUGAGUUUGGGAGAGGGAUGCGGAAUUCCAGGUGUAGCGGUGAAAUGCGUAGAUAUCUGGAGGAACACCGGUGGCGAAGGCGGGAUCCUGGACCAACACUGACGCUGAUGAGCGAAAGCCAGGGGAGCAAACGGG